rnacentral:rRNA from 1 species
UACGUAGGGUGCAAGCGUUGUCCGGAAUUAUUGGGCGUAAAGAGCUCGUAGGCGGUUCGUCGCGUCGGCUGUGAAAACCCGGAGCUCAACUCCGGGCCUGCAGUCGAUACGGGCGGACUAGAGUUCGGCAGGGGAGACUGGAAUUCCUGGUGUAGCGGUGAAAUGCGCAGAUAUCGGGAGGAACACCGGUGGCGAAGGCGGUUCUCUGGGCCUGUACUGACGCUGAGGAGCGAAAGCGUGGGGAGCGAACAGG